AAAUCUGCUAAUUAAUCUGCCUACCUGAAUGUGUUUCUCCAGAACUUCUGAAAAAAAUCUGGUAAUAGUGAUGCCAUAUUGUGAGCCUUAAGAACAAAUGAAGUCUUUCUGGUCCAUGAAAAUAGCUACAAUA
rnacentral:snoRNA from 1 species